AACGCGGUAGUCCUUUUGGAUGUUGACAUCCGUUCAGUGCAAAGAUGGGUUCUAAAAAAUCAUUGAAGAUAAAGCUGAAGCUGGCGAAGAAACUUCGCCAGAACCAGCCGAUCCCUCAGUGGAUUCGCUCACGAACUGGCAACACUAUCAGGUACAACGCGAAGAGGCGUCACUGGCGUCGCUCUAAGCUGAAGCUGUAAGCCCCGUCCGCUGCCGUCAAUUCCUCGCGGACUGGAUUGGACGUGCUGGUCACCGCGCGCCGGGCGACCGAGCGUCUUUGCUGAAACAUGUACCGUUGAAAAUACAAUUGUCCAUCCACUGAA